rnacentral:rRNA from 1 species
CACGUAGGGUGCGAGCGUUGUCCGGAAUUAUUGGGCGUAAAGAGCUCGUAGGCGGUGUGUCGCGUCGGCCGUGAAAACCUGCAGCUUAACUGUGGGCUUGCGGUCGAUACGGGCAGACUGGAGGUAUGCAGGGGAGAACGGAAUUCCUGGUGUAGCGGUGAAAUGCGUAGAUAUCAAGAGGAACACCAGUGGCGAAGGCGAGUCCCUGGACAACACCUGACACUGAGGCACGAAAGCUAGGGGAGCAAACAGG